AUUGAACGCUGGCGGAAUGCUUUACACAUGCAAGUCGAACGGCAGCACGGACUUCGGUCUGGUGGCGAGUGGCGAACGGGUGAGUAAUGUAUCGGAACGUGCCCAGUCGUGGGGGAUAACGUAGUGAAAAUUACGCUAAUACCGCAUACGUUCUAUGGAUGAAAGCGGGGGAUCGCAAGACCUCGCGCGAUUGGAGCGGCCGAUAUCAGAUUAGGUAGUUGGUGGGGUAAAGGCCCACCAAGCCAACGAUCUGUAGCUGGUCUGAGAGGACGACCAGCCCGACUGGAACUGAGACACGGUGCAGGCUCCUACGGGAGGCAGCAGUGGGGAAUUUUGGACAAUGGGCGAAAGCCUGAUCCAGCCAUUCCGCGUGCAGGAUGAAGGCCCUCGGGUUGUGAACUGCUUUUGUACAGAACGAAAAGGUUUCUACUAAUACUAGGAGCUCAUGACGGUACUGUAAGAAUUAGCACCGGCUAACUACGUGCCAGCAGCCGCCGUAA
rnacentral:rRNA from 1 species